rnacentral:rRNA from 1 species
GAUGAACGCUAGCGGCAGGCCUAACACAUGCAAGUCGAGGGGUAGAGUUCUUCGGGAUUUGAGACCGGCGCACGGGUGCGUAACGCGUAUGCAAUCUACCUUAUACAGGGGAAUAGCCCCAGAGAAAUUUGGAUUAAUGCCCCAUAGUGUUAUCGAAUCGCAUGGUUUGAUAACUAAAGUUCCAACGGUAUAAGAUGAGCAUGCGUCCCAUUAGUUAGUUGGUAAGGUAACGGCUUACCAAAGACAAUGAUGGGUAGGGGUCCUGAGAGGGAGAUCCCCCACACUGGUACUGAGACACGGACCAGACUCCUACGGGAGGCAGCAGUGAGGAAUAUGGUCAAUGGGCGCAAGCCUGAACAGCCAUGCCGC